AGCUGAAAUGUGUUUGGAAAAGGAAAUGGACAGUAUACAGAAGAUUUUAACCUGACAGAGACGUCGAUUUGGAAAAACUAAAGCUAUUUUGCUCGUAGCUUUCCACCUGUCAACAGCUCCAUCAUAUUCAUAAUGCAGUGAGACCGUCACUGGGCCUUGUGCUGCUUCACCUCAGAUGUUUACAUCUUAUUUAAUUAAGACAGACAGACAGAUGUUUAGCAAACUCUAACAAAUAAUUUACGCAUAACAUCCCCCAGUCGUACGCUACACGAUGAAUGACAGGAAAACAGCGAUCUGUGUCAUUGACUGUGUUUGAAAUCACUAACGUUACAGUGUCAGUACAGCAUACAGCGGUCAUUCAAAGAAUUCAUCUGGAAAAACACCAGUUCACAGCACUUUAUUUGAUAGAUUCAUCAGCAAUGACAUAAAAUCCUGCUGAGCUGCAUCUUUAGCAAACAAAGGCCUGCUUUCCAGCCAUCAGACAGGAGAAACAUCACAUCGCCAUCUGAACGGUAUCUAACCGCUAUAUCACGACAAGCAUGUGGUCGACUUUAAAGUGUAGCCCAGGAUGUAUUUCCAUCCGGAUAAUGAAACAGCUGCACCUGUGAAUCACAGAUCCUGUUGCUAAAGAUGGUUUGACUGGAGGAACAGGAGGUGGAGUCGGCUUGAUUCCCUACACAGAUAUUUUGCAAAGUUUUAAUAAGUCCACAAACACAAUGAAUCUACUUAAAAAUGUUAUCGGCUCUGUUCCAAAACCUAUAUGUUACUGAAAUAGGUGUGGUCUAUUUAAGUCACUUAAAAUCAUUUUCAGUGGUAAGGAACAGGAAACCACAGAUGACUCAACUAAUGGGUUUGGGUGAACAUGACCUAAGAUGACCUGUGUUGUAUUUUGAUUAAAUAAAAAGACUAAACAGUAGUAUGUUCUUUAUUUUGGAAAUGUAAUUGAACAAACUUUUCAGUUUCAAUAUUACUUGAGUAAAGUACAAAUUCUGUUCAAUCAAAUUUAAGUAAUUAUGUAAACUCACUCAAGUAUUACAGCCCUGAUAUCAACAGCUUAGAAUUAGGAAACUAUUGAAAUACUGUAACUAUAGUUGAUAAAUACUGACUAACAACA